rnacentral:rRNA from 1 species
AUUGAACGCUGGCGGCAUGCCUUACACAUGCAAGUCGAACGGUAACAGGUCUUCGGAUGCUGACGAGUGGCGAACGGGUGAGUAAUACAUCGGAACGUGCCCGAGAGUGGGGGAUAACGAGGCGAAAGCUUUGCUAAUACCGCAUACGAUCUCAGGAUGAAAGCAGGGGACCGCAAGGCCUUGCGCUCACGGAGCGGCCGAUGGCAGAUUAGGUAGUUGGUGGGAUAAAAGCUUACCAAGCCGACGAUCUGUAGCUGGUAUGAGAGGACGACCCGCCACACGGAGACUGGGACACGGCGCAGACUCCUACGGGAGGCGGCAGUGGAGAAUUUUGGACAAUGCGUGCAAACCUCAUCCAGCCAGGCCGCGUGCGGGAUGAAGGCCUUCGGUUUAUAAACUGCUUUUGUACGGAACGAAAAGACUCCUUCUAAUUAAGGGGGUCCAUGACGGUACCGUAAGAAUAAGCACCGGCUAACUACGUGCCAGCCGCCGCCGCAGUAA